GAAAAAAGAAGCAUGUGUGCAGGUAGUGUUUAUUAGGGAAAUGUGAUCUUAUCUGGGGGGGUUUGAAUCACAUUUAUGGGAUCUUGCCAAGGAAUUUAACCUUCUCAGGUUUUGGCUUACUCAUCCUAACCCAGGGCUCUGUCUUCCAUGUGUAUGGUAAGGAUAAUAGACAGCCACAUGUGAGUGCAGCAAGAAUUGUGUGUAAAAAAUACUCAGUUAAUCCUUCUGGUACUCAGUCUGCUUUGUCUUUCCUUGAGGUUAUUAACAUUCAAAUUAAAAAAAAUUAUUUGAAAGUCAUCAAUUUGAAAAUUACACAGAUGGCAAUUACUGUACAUUUUUGGACUAACUGCAUCACUGCAUAUAUACCCAUUCUCUCCUUUUAACCCCCCUGGGCAGGGGCUCCACGACCACAGAAGAAAGGCAGGGUAGCUCCCCUCCUUCGUCCUGGAGCAAACUCUCAUCACUGAAGGGAAGGCUUUUCACUGCAUUCAGAGCACACUUGUCUUCAUGAUCACCCAGUAGUGUCCCUGAUGCGUGUCCUGGGCAUCUUGAGCAUGAAACAGGACUGGGAUGAUGUUGCUCUUUCACUGAAUCGCUGCUCCUGAUCACGAGUAACUCAGAGCACAUGAGACAAGUCCUUCUAUCAUCACCAGCCCUGCCCCAUAAUAAAAAACAGGUUCUCCAUUCACUCCAAUACCCCAGAAGGCAGAGGAUUCUACAUGGUCCUUUCCGAGAUAUUUGGAAAUAGACUCGGAUGGUGUUCCAGGCAAUCAGCAGGAGGAGAUUUAUUUUUCCUAGUCUGGUCUUCCAUUGAUCAUGUAGCAUCACAGAAGAUACCAGCUGUUUGCAGAUGUCUCCAGCACAACUUCCUACCUUCUUCCAGCCUGAGAUUAUGUCUCCUGUCCCCGGUUACCAAGAAGGGGCUUCAACUGGGUUGAAAAAUCACUUAGUACCACCAAGUUUCUGUAUUUGCUGGCAUUAGCAUUUACUGCCUUAUUUAGAUGCUACAUUUCUGUUCCUGCUCUGAUUGGGUUCUACAUACUUCAGUAGUUUUCCAAUAAAUUCAAUUAUGCAUUUAAAGAAUGAUUUUAAAAUUGGGACACUAACUCACUUGAGAUACAAC
rnacentral:lncRNA from 1 species